UCCUGCCGGGAGCCGCGCUCCGUCCGGGGCCGGCAGCGAGCGCGGGGUUCGGCCGCUCCACGUUCGGCGGUGCCGUGGCUCGGAGGCGCUUUGGAGGCGUUGAUGGCAUCGCUGGGUUCGGUUUGCAGCGGCUGUCCGCUAAGGGAUAUGGGGUUCUUCCUGAGUGGGCACGGUUCUCGGUGCCGGGUACUGAGAAAAUACGUCUCCCUUAGAGUCCCACGGAAAGGUUCUCAGUGCGCUCUCUAUCAAGUGCUAUGAGUCUUGAUAAAUUGGAGAAGAGCCCAAGAGAAAUUUUUCAUCCCUUGAUAUAAAAGGGAUCGGUGAAUUUUAACUUUGGAGUCCCCUAUGCUAAGGAUGCUCAGCUUACAGGUGAUGAAAUGUUCAGUAAUGUAUUUGCUGCAGCUCUGCUUACCCAAGCUUUGGGUUCCUUCUGUCCCACUGGGAGUUGCCCAAUUUGGUUGCAUCUGGUGAAAUUCACCCUGAGACAUUACAGAACUAGCUCCAACUACGUGAGAGCCAUUUGCAGUUCUCUCCAGACGCCUGGAGAAUGGGCGACGUUUCUGAGGAUCCGGCGAGCGUGCUUCUAUCAAAACUCAGUCUGUGAAAUUCCUGGGGAAAACCCUUCUGUGUCCUGAAGGGUUCAAACUCUGGUGAGGAUCCAGUUAUCAGGUGCUCACCUGGAUGGUUCCAGCUCCCAAAGGGAAAGACUCUCGUAUCCUUGUCGUCGGGCUCAGUGCUGUCCAAGAAGAUACAGAGACUAAAAAAAUCAUAAGAAGCAAAAUAUGACUGCAGGGAAAAGAAGCUGGAGAGAACAGAAGACUCAUCACGGCGGGACAGCGUGAGGACUGAAAGUGUAAGAAGAUGUGGAGGGAAAGAGAGAAUCUGACAGGAGCAUCGGACGCACGAGUGCAGGAAUUUUGCUUUUUUGCUUGGAUGUAAACUCAGGCGUUGAAAGGAAUUUGGGAGUGAGAAGGGACAUUUCAGAAGGAGAAGAAGCAAAAGAAGUUGUUGUUGUUGUUACAGUCCUGGCAAAAUCUUUUGUUCUAGCUAAUAAAAGAAGUUAGUUUAAAAAACAAA